rnacentral:rRNA from 1 species
UACGAAGGGGGCUAGCGUUGCUCGGAAUCACUGGGCGUAAAGCGCACGUAGGCGGAUUGCUAAGUCAGGGGUGAAAUCCUGGAGCUCAACUCCAGAACUGCCUUUGAUACUGGCGAUCUUGAGUCCGGGAGAGGUGAGUGGAACUGCGAGUGUAGAGGUGAAAUUCGUAGAUAUUCGGAAGAACACCAGUGGCGAAGGCGGCUCACUGGACCGGCAUUGACGCUGAGGUGCGAAAGCGUGGGGAGCAAACAGG